ensembl:lncRNA
UCAUCAAACUACGCCUUUGCCUCUUUGUUUAUUUUGAAUACGUGCCCUCUAGCGGCGAAUAUUACAUAUUGUGCCUUUUAAGGGUUGCAUGUUAAACGUUAGAUAUUACGUUUUAGGACUACAUUAUCAUAAUACUUUGAGUAAAAAUACAAACUUUUUCAUUUAAUUGCAGGCACCCAGGCUACGGUUUCUUCUUUCCAUGUAGGUGCUGAAACUACUCCCAGUUUCCCCUCAGUAGCACUGUCUUCAACUCCCAUCAAAGCCCCUCCAUUCCCACCACACAAAAGGCCUUGUCUUGAGUUGGAUGAAGAAGAGGAAGACACAGACAUUUCAGAUGUUACAGAGGAGUCCGGAUUAUGGGAACAGACCACAUACAAUGUGUCAAAAUACAUUGUUUUUGAAAGCUGCCUCCGAGAGCUAUUUGAAACAUGUCCAGUUUGCAAAACAAAGUGUGAUGUUCAAUGUAGACGAAUGGGCAGCUAUGUGUCAUUCACCCAGCACUGUCCAAAGUGCAGUUAUCACAGAAAGUGGGAGAGUCAGCCAGUCAUUGGAAGUACACCUGUUGGAAACCUACUGGUGUCUGCAGCUACUUACUUCUGUGGUGCAUCCUUCAUUCAAUUUGAAAAGGUAAUCUUAAGAUAUUCAUAUUACCCAUAUGAUCAUAUUUCCAGGUCAAUCACUGUUCUAUUAUUAUGUGGUUUUUAAUGUGUUUCCUAAUUUUUUAGAUUUGCAAGGCCAUGCAGCUUCAGAUCAUCCACUAUGAUGUAUUUAGGAGGCAUGCUAGGAACUACCUAGAGCCUGCUGUAAUACACAAGUGGAACUUGGAUCAGAAAAACCUUUUCAGGAAGCUGCAAGAAGGGGGAAAGGUUGCAGUUGCUGGAGAAAUGAGGGCUGAUACACCGGGUACAUUUUUUUUUAGAAGUAAUUAUAUCUUGAUCUGCAUUCUUGUGAUUAUCAUUUUUGUGUUACAUUGGACUGACAAAACCAGCACGACACAGCAAGAGUCAGGACUGGUAUAGACGCGAUAUGAGGAAAAAUUCAUAGUUCUUUUUUUUUAUUAGGGAACUCGGCAAAAUACGGCAGCUACACCUUGAUGCACCUGGACAGCAACACUAUUCUUGACAUGCAGCUUGUUCAGGUAAACUUAUUUUAUAUCAUAAACUUAUUAGGGCUGUCAAAAUAAAAUUAGAAUUUCGAAUAUUCAUCGAAUAUAUAUAAAAAAAAAAAUCCACAUUCGAAUGCAAAAACGUUGCAUUCAAAUUGUAGGUCUGCGUCAGCCGUCAGGCAGCCUUACCAGUGGCGCACGAAAUGCGACGACAAUGUAAGUGUCAUUGCAUUUUAAUGCUUUUGUUAGCCUAUCCAGUUGAACCCACUAGAUGCGGCGCUGCUAGGUUGUUCAUUCAAUAUAUUGCGGAAAACGAGAGCUUCAGUGUGGAGAAGAUGUUGUUAACGGCGAAACUGAAACCAAGCCAUUCACACAGAACGCAUAUUUAUCACAUUUUCUAGCGGGGCAUCUAUCAGCUUUGCACUCGCGUCUCGCACAAUAGAGCGGCAUGUUUAGAAAGCCAUGUAAAAUUAAUGUAAGUUCAAGUUUUAAAAAACAUGUCUCAAGACUUUAUGGCGAUUUUCCCCAUCCUACUGUAUCUCAUGUUUUUAAAGGGGUCAUAUGAUGCUUUUUUAAAGAUCAUUAUUUUGUGUAUUUGGUGUAACAGAAAAU